AUGCCAGCCUGUCGUCCAGCCUGCACGCCACCGCCCACUGGUGGAUUACGGGGAGAUUCUAAACAAAGUGAAAACAGGAGUUCCCGUCGUGGCACAGCAGAAAGGAACCUGACUAGGAUCCAUGAGGACACGGGUUCAAUCUCUGGCCUCGCUCCGGGGGUUAAGGAUCCGGUGUUGCUGUGGCUGUGGUGUAGGCCGGCAGCUGCAGCUCCGAUUCAACCCCUAGCCUGGGAACUUCUCUAUGCCGCGGGUUUGGCCCUAAAAAACCAAACAGACAAAAAACAAACAAACAAAAAAAGAAGUGAAAACAAAAAGUAUUACUCAGCAGGUGGUACCUACAAACACAUCAGAGCUGGUCUGUAAAGAAGCCACCACAGCUCAGCUCCACGGUGUCACCAAACUUGGCUCAGCGCCCUCAAGUCACAGGCACACGCCGACCCCCCCAUGUCACCCCAGGCCUCUGAAGUUGAUCUCCAGCCACGGCUGAAAUGGAAGCCACGAUGCGCUCCUUCAUCUCUGAAGACUUUGAGGAGUUCCCGCUCUGGCGCAGUGGGGUAAGAAUCCAGCUGCAGUCGCUGUGGAGGUGCAGUUCCAUCCCUGGCCCGGCGCAGUGGGUUAAAGGGUCCAGGGUUGCUGCAGCUGCAGCACAGGUCACAGCUGCAGCUCAGAUUUGAUCCCUGGCCUGGGAACUUCUACCUGCUAUGCAUGUGGCCAUGAAUAAAAAAGACAAAAAAAAAAAAAAAAAAGACUUU
rnacentral:lncRNA from 1 species